rnacentral:rRNA from 1 species
UACGAAGGGUGCAAGCGUUAAUCGGAAUUACUGGGCGUAAAGGGUGCGUAGGCGGUUCGUUAAGUCUGUCGUGAAAUCCCCGGGCUCAACCUGGGAAUGGCGAUGGAUACUGGCGAGCUAGAGUGUGUCAGAGGAUGGUGGAAUUCCCGGUGUAGCGGUGAAAUGCGUAGAGAUCCGGAAGAACACCAGUGGCGAAGGCGGCCCGCUGGGCAGUGGCUGACGCUGAAGCGCGACAGCGUGGGGAGCAAACAGG